UGACAAAGCCGCCGAGCACCUCACUACCAUUCAUUACAGAACCGACGCGAAUCGCGAUGCAGUCGCGACACUAGUUCGAAAUUUUAAACUUUUUUUUUAUUUCGAAUCAGCCAUUUUGACAAGCUGUCAGUUUUGCGCGCCAUUUUUACGUUUGUGUUUUUUUUUUGUUUAUGUUUUGUUUUGUCUGUAUGUGAUUGGCUGUUCCGAGGGAAAAGGUGAUCAUGUCUCAAAACUGCAAAUCAACUUACACAGCGGCGACAACGAGGGAUGCUAAUAACAACACGCUGUACCACGGCGCCACGACGCCAGUGUACGGCGGCCGAGGUUACCCUCCGCCCAGCGUCACCAAUGGAAACUACCAGCAAGUGACGGCGAAAGUGCUGUUCGGCAGCAUGACGGCGAUCAAUGACCUCAAGCAACAGAAGACUGGGGAGCGACGGAAGCACUAGCGACAUCGUGUGUGACAUAAUGAUUGUGAUAAGAAGAAAUUAAUCGAAGCUAAGGAGUGAUCUCGGAAGACAGAGUUUUAUUAUUCAUAAAAAUAUAUUUUUGUAUUAUUCUUAGAUUUAGUUAAAAUGCUCGAAUAUUGUAUGAGAUAAAAUUAAUAAAUAAUUUUAUAAGUUA